rnacentral:lncRNA from 1 species
CUUCAAUUUGUGGCAUCAGGGUUUAGCAGUUUCUUUCCCAGUCUAAAAAGUAGUACUUUUUGAGAGGGAGCAUAAAAGACAUAAUAAAUUUAAUAAAAUUAAUUCAAGCAUAGGUAUUCAGUAAAUAUAAAGGAGAAGGCAUCCAACAUAAAAAGACCUUUUAAUCUAGAAAGCAAAAGCCAAAUUACAAUAAUAUGAAUAAUAAGCAAAUUAAUAGAUAGAAAGCAUUCUCUUUCCAAACUGAGAAUAUGGUUUAGCUCAUAUGCCUCAGUGGGAUGCAUGGGUCUUUGAGGACCUGGGAGGGGGGCAGCUAAAUUGCUGGCAAGGUGAAAGCUAGAAAUCAAUAAUCAGCCCUGAUUCCCAGCAGCUGACUGAAAGGUCUUUUAGGAAGCCACAGAGAUAGCUGGUCCCCUGGAGGGGGCAGGAAGGUCUUGGUGCCUAGUUUACAAGAGAUUACCACACUCCAGAGACACCUGUUGUAACUGGAAACAGCCACUGUUAUGUGCUAACCUGAAGUAUCUGAGAAGUUUCACACCCAAAAGGAGAAACACCCUCUGCCAUCACAGCCCUCAACCAGACUGCUGUUCUAAGGUCAGUCAUAUGUACUAGGAGAUGGUGUGUAUGGAAUAAUUUGCUUGUGGUCUGUUUUCCACCUUCUAGGCAACUGUAGUUACACGACAAAAUGUAGGACGUGUUUUUAAAAAUAGAGGUUAUAAUGUUAUUUGAAGAUCAGU